rnacentral:lncRNA from 1 species
GGAACCCUCCAGGAGAUGAUGCCAUAAUCUGACAUGGGCACCUCUAGGAUGGAGCAGGUGGAGCCUGGAAAUGGAGAAGCUGCAGAAAGAGGGAAACACCUCUGCCCCUGCAGAGCCCAUCAUCCAGAUCUUGGCCUGAUGGAAGCAGGAGCUCUGGGUAGCACAGCUGCAUUUAUCCACCUAAACUUUAAUUCAGCCCUAAAUCUACAGUUAAUUUUGAAAAUGGGACCUCAACUAAGCAGCAAGAAUCCCACCUGUGUCACCAACACAUCACCUGCUAAUGCCAGACUGAAGUGGAGCAAUACACAGCACUGUCUUAAAAGAUCUGCUGAUUCAUUAAUGCUCAUGCUUUCCCUUCAAUAGCAAAUAUCUCCUUUUGUCUCAAAUAAACACAUGGAAAUAAAGCCA